rnacentral:lncRNA from 1 species
UUGACAAUAAAAUAUUUCAAGUAUGGUUUUUUUUAUUUAAUAUAAUUAAAAUUUGGAUCAGAUCUAUCUCAACUGGUGAAGUAGAUCUAAACGAGAGUAUCUGAGGACUUUGAUUAGAUUCUUAUGUACAGCACACAUAAAAUUAUAGUAUUUGUGCAUUCACAAAAGGGGAAACCAAACCCAAAAUUAGUAAUCUGCUUUUUGUUUCCUUUUAUAAUUUUUUUUUUUUUUUUUUUGUAAAUUCAGUAUGCAGUAUGCUAAUUAGUCGGGUGGUCAAGCACCGGAAACUUUGACCAAAACAAUUCAGUAGGAGGGGAGGGCUUCAGUAAUUGAUUUUGUUGUUGUGAAGGGUUGUUGCUUAAGCUUAAUA